AAUGGCUAAAUCGUAUCUGACAGGCAGUGUACGUGCAGCUCUGUGAAUGUUUAUGUAAGUGUGUGUCCCUGACUGUCCACUGAGAGGUGCACACACACACACACACACAAAUACACACAGGCUCUCUCUCAUACACAAACACACACACAGCGAGGCAGUGUUAGGAGCUUCAGGGUGUCUCUGCUCAGAGUGCAGCGGUCUCUUGCUGGUGCUGGAUGUAAUCAGUCAGCGGAUCAGUCUUCCAGCAGGAGGAAGGUUGGCUGUGGAGUUGGUCUGUGAAAGUACACUGCAACAAUGAUCAUCAGACUCGGAAGACUGACUCCAGGAUACUUCCGUCUUCUGCAGCGGCAGGUCUCUGGUGAAGUGCGGAUGCAGCCGCAGACUGGCCCUGUCAACCACAUCGCUAUGACGAUGGCCACAGUGGGAUUAGGGAUGUCCUGCUACAGUGCCCGGCAGAUGGCUGAGCGGGUCCACCUGAAGGAGGCUUCAGCCUGAGAUGCCGCCCCCUAGAGGCCACGAGAGGACACCUCUCUGCCCAAAAGACCAUGGGGCACGUUCAGGACUCAGACCUGCUACACGAUUGGUGUUUAAAUAGGUCUGUGCAAAAGAUUCCAUAAAGUGACAUGGAUGACUGCCCUACCUGGAAUAUCCUCCAGGACAACUUAUAACCUCUACUUUCCUGUCUUUACAUCUUUUUAUAUCUUCAGCAAUUAGCCCUGAUGGUGUGACAAGCUAUGUGGUCAGUGUUUAAAGAUUCAUCAAUAAUGUAAUGUUCAGGUAACAUACAUACCUUUACUGUAAGUAAUUGCACUUAAUUCUGACAUUAAACCAGUGACAUUGUCACCACUCACCAGACACUAAAUCAAACUAAAAUGGAAAAACCUGAUAAUUUCAUUUUACCUGACUAAUGUGAAGGAGUGGAUCUUACCAUGAAUAUGAGGCUUGGUUGAUGAGGUUCGGUGUUUUUGUAUGUUGAAAUGUGUUUGUUGGAAAAUGAUGGAAUGCUAAGCUGUGUGUUAACAGAGAUGAGUUUUCUGGAAAGUGUUGUGAAGGAAAAGUGAAAGUGCUGCUCCUCUGAAAGACGUUUGCCCUUCGUGUUUGUCACUACCAAACGUUUUUGUUGCUUUAACAUGGAGAUGUCUUUGUGUAUGAGACAAACUCUGACUAUACUUGACAUAUGUACAUCCUGACACUGUUUAUCUUACAUGUGUAACAAGCAAAAGCUUAAUGAAAUAAUACUGUAAGACUUAGGCUACUUUAUAGGAAUACUAAGAAUACAUUAGUCAUCACACUACUGUGGGAUUUGCCACUUUUACUAACUCAUCAUAAGAAUUGCACCUGUAUUAGCCUACUUUGUUAACUGAAUGGAACUUUAUACUGUGCACCAAACUGUUUUUUAAACUGUGAAUAAAAUUUCUUUUAAAUAAUU